CACUGCAGACCUCCUUGUAUAAAAAGAGUUCACGUCUCCAAAGAUAAUAGCAAAGAAUUCCAAGAGGACAUUUUACCAGAAGUAUGGCUUUAUGUUCAUUACCAACCAGCCUGUGUAAUGAGGAAGAUGUCCUAUGGAAAAGUCCUUGCAGACUUCACUCAGACAGCAUGCCGAGGCGUAUUUCUGUUGCUGGAAGAUGCAGUUAAGCCAAGUGAUAUGAUAUCUCUGCACAUAACCUAAUGAGGACAGCUACACAGAACAGUGCUAGGGGGAUCUGCGUGACAAACAAUAAAAGCAUAGCUCACUCUUC